CUGCCCACCACCAGGCAGUAUUGAAAGGUACAGUCUGACUUUGUCCUUCUAGUCCUCUGAACAGUGACCAUGUUCAAGAAAAGCUUUUUUUAAAGGUUGUUUUAUGUUAUAAAUCCAUAAGAUGGCAGAUAGCAACAUGGGGCUGACUGAAGUUUAGUUGACUACCACCUUUAUUCUUUCUGGUCAGACAAUCUCGUUACCAGCAACUCGACACAUAGUUUUCUUCUGACUUCUUAAGUACUUCCUGUCAAGAUACAGGAAGGAAGAGUAAGCCAGGGAUAAUUUCAGUGCACCAAACCACAUGGAAGUUGCAAUGAUAGCAUAGCACAUAGGGGGUUCUCCUACUUGAAUUUCUAAGGGGGAAAAAAAAAAAAAACGACAACAAAAAAAAACACAAAACCAGAAUUCUGUGAAUGAAGCUAUUUUUUCCCAUCUAAAUGAAUAGAGUUCAUCAUAAGACUGUGUCAGGCCUUUACAACACUCCAGCUUUCUUGUAUUAUCUACUAUUUGUUACAUGGAGUUCUUGAGUUUCAGUUUUCCAAACAAUUCGCUAAGUACUUUCUCACCACUUGUCAUUGCUGGCUUAAAAAUUGGAUAAGAAGCAAAAGAAAUUCUGCUUUCAUGAACAAAUAAAUUAAAGAGAGGACUAAGGCAGCUUUCUGCAUUAUUUCUGGUGAGGAAGUAUGGGUGGCAGAUAAAUAAAAUAGUUUAUCUAUACUUGUAUUAAAACUUUGGCCACUACAUGUCUAUGUUAUCCAAAGCUUUUAUGUUUGUUAAACAGGGGUUUAACAAAAAGAAUUGCUUUGUUUUUCUGAGCAUAUUAAGGUUGUACUUGUACAAAUAAUGGAGGCUUUUAUCUACCUUUUUAUUGAUUUAGUUGCACACUGCCAUUAGAUAUACUUAUAAUUUUUUUUUUUUAAAAAACCAAUUUAAGUUCAGCUUAAGAAAACUGAUCAAAACAUAGUAAGAUAAUGUGAUUGCAUCACUGGAGCUAAUGUCUCCAAAUCAAUACUAUAUGUUAUUGUGGUGUACAUAUAUAUUAUAUAGAGAGAGAGUGGUAUAAUCCACUGUAAAGUGAGUCUGACUCUGUCUUUCUCUAUUUUUUGAACAGAAUUUCAUCUUAACAAUGAACAGGAAAAAAUUGCAUUGGAAGAAAAACAAGGAUGUUUUUUUGAAAUAGCUGGUAAAACACAAGGAAAUAGACAGUAGUUAAGUCGUUUGUUCAUACCAUGUAGGAGAUCUGUGGAAAAAAGAGCAAGACGUAAUCUUUAGAAGGAGAGUUUAUCUGUGAUCCUAGUCAGAGAAGAUGAAGCUGGACUUUCCUGUUCAGAGUACUCCUAGACAUCACCAGAAGUGUCAGACAUGAAGAGGAAUACUGUAACAUAACUACAAAGAAAACAAAGAUGACUUCUGAAGGGGUGUAUUGUAAUGUGUUUUCAUAUAUAUGAUAAACCAUUAUAAAAAAAAGUGAUUGGAGC
ensembl:lncRNA